UACAGAGGGUGCAAGCGUUGUUCGGAAUUACUGGGCGUAAAGCGCGUGUAGGUGGCGAUGUAAGUCGAGUGUGAAAUCCCCGAGCUUAACUUGGGAAUUGCGCUCGAAACUACGACGCUGGAGUAUGGCAGAGGAAGGUGGAAUUCCACGUGUAGCGGUGAAAUGCGUAGAGAUGUGGAGGAACACCGAUGGCGAAGGCAGCCUUCUGGGACAAUACUGACGCUCAUGCACGAAAGCGUGGGGAGCAAACAGG
rnacentral:rRNA from 1 species